rnacentral:lncRNA from 1 species
UUUACAAUGAGCUAAGCCCACACACCGCAUAUUCAACUAUAAAAGGCCCCGAAAUGACAAUAUGAAUGAAGUCCAUUUUCAAUGAAUUAGUUCACAAUUUUAUUUAGGGUCCAGCUGAGGACCACCUCUUGGUGCGGGAUUUUCUCGCUGCGUUGAAGACCCAUUGGUAGUUUCGGCUGUUGUCUGCUCUUUGGUCAGGUUGUUGCCUCUUUGACAUAUU